rnacentral:rRNA from 1 species
AUAAGGGCGCACGGUGGAUGCCUUGGCACUAGGAGCCGAUGAAGGACGGGACUAACACCGAUAUGCUUUGGGGAGCUGUACGUAAGCUAUGAUCCAGAGAUUUCCGAAUGGGGGAACCCAACAUCUUUAAUAGGAUGUUACGAUUGUGUGAAUACAUAGCACAUUCGAGGUAGACGCAGAGAACUGAAACAUCUAAGUACCUGCAGGAAGAGAAAGAAAAUUCGAUUCCCUGAGUAGCGGCGAGCGAAACGGGAAAAGCCCAAACCAGCAAGCUUGCUUGUUGGGGUUGUAGGACUCCAAUAUGGUAGUUCUUUCAGAUAGUCGAAUGACUUGGAAAAGUCAGUCAAAGAGGGUAAAAACCCCGUAGACGAAAUGUGGAAGACACCUAGGAGGAUCCUGAGUACGGCGGAACACGAGAAAUUCCGUCGGAAUCCGGGAGGACCAUCUCCCAAGGCUAAAUACUCCCUAGUGACCGAUAGUGAACCAGUACCGUGAGGGAAAGGUGAAAAGCACCCCGGAAGGGGAGUGAAAUAGAACCUGAAACCGUGUGCCUACAACAAGUCAAAGCCCGUUAAUGGGUGAUGGCGUGCCUUUUGUAGAAUGAACCGGCGAGUUACGAUUGCAUGCGAGGUUAAGUUGAAGAGACGGAGCCGCAGCGAAAGCGAGUCUGAAUAGGGCGUUUGAGUAUGUAGUCGUAGACCCGAAACCAUGUGAUCUACCCAUGUCCAGGUUGAAGGUGCGGUAAAACGCACUGGAGGACCGAACCCACGUACGUUGAAAAGUGCGGGGAUGAGGUGUGGGUAGCGGAGAAAUUCCAAACGAACUUGGAGAUAGCUGGUUCUCUCCGAAAUAGCUUUAGGGCUAGCCUCGGAAUUGAGAAUGAUGGAGGUAGAGCACUGUUUGGACUAGGGGCCCAUCUCGGGUUACCGA